CAACUUUCAACAACGGAUCUCUUGGNCUCUUGCAUCGAUGAAGAACGCAGCGAAAUGCGAUAAGUAAUGUGAAUUGCAGAAUUCCGUGAAUCAUCAAAUCUUUGAACGCAAAUUGCACUCUUUGGUAUUCCGAAGAGUAUACUUGCUUGAGGGUUGUU
rnacentral:rRNA from 1 species